UACGUAGGGGGCAAGCGUUGUCCGGAUUUAUUGGGCGUAAAGAGCGUGUAGGCGGCCUGAAAGGUCAGCUGUGAAAACUCGAGGCUCAACCUCGAGACGUCGGUUGAAACCAUCUGGCUAGAGUCCGGAAGAGGAGUGUGGAAUUCCCGGUGUAGCGGUGAAAUGCGCAGAUAUCGGGAAGAACACCCGUGGCGAAGGCGGCACCCUGGGACGGUACUGACGCUGAGACGCGAAAGCGUGGGAGCGAACAGG
rnacentral:rRNA from 1 species